CAGCUGAAUGACCAGUACCUGGAGCUGCUAGAGAAGCAGAGGCUGUACUUCAAGACUGUGAAGGAGUUCAAGGAGAGCUCGGUCUUCCCCUUAACCCAAAUAACUCACCAAGAGAAAAGGCCCAGAAGAGGAGAAUGACUCUUCACAUGUUGCUGGGACGCACCAGCCCUGCCCUUUUGACAGCAGAAACAGAAACGUAACUCAGUCCCUCGUCGGGCCACCACCAUUAUUGAGGAGGAGGUGGCGAUGGGGGCUGGCUUGCUGCUCCCCGGGCUCCACCCCAUCCCUUCAGCCAGAGCAAUUCUGCUCUUACAUCUGCAGUUCCAGGAGGGCCACAGGAACGAGGUGCUGCUGUACAAGGUGGGAGCCAAGGCCUCCUGAGAGCCCCCGACAUCAUCAGCGCACGGCCGGGGUUCUCUAAAUGCCACAUACUGACAACAAGGCUGUGAAAUGGUUCUGAACGCUGCAUAGAGAGAUGCUGGUGCAGUGACCUCAACACCCUGGACAUGUUCUUGCUCCG
rnacentral:lncRNA from 1 species